CUCCUUAAGCUGUCGAUGUCGGUUUUCCUGGGUUUCUACCGCCACAGAAUUCUGUUCUGCUGAGCAAGACAGGAAGUCCUCUGAGCUGAGAAAACUUCAAGAAGAGAAAUUUUCACUGGAAUAAAUUCGACAGAAAACAGUAUCCAUUUAAGGAAAUACCCGCAAAGAAAAUGCUGUCUUUCCCCUCCUAUUGGAUGGGUCAUUCAUCUCUAAUGCAAAGACAGGUUUGCUUCUCUCUUCCUGUCUACAUGCAUAGAUGAUUUCAUGAUGUGCACCCGUCAUGUAAAGAGAGCCCGGUGGAGAGCAAGCACGAAGAUCAACCGAUUUCCCUAGCCCUAAGAUUACUGCAAUGCUUCCUGUGGCUGUUCUUCCUACAGCCCCUCAGUGUGAGCCAUAAAGCUUUAGUUCUCACGCCGAGCUGUGUGGGACAGGGUGUUGAGCGAUCCUGCCUCUACGAUGAAUAAGAUCAACAGCA
rnacentral:lncRNA from 1 species